AUAAAUUAUUUAGCCAAUUUCCCAGUCUCGGAAAAAAAAAAAGAGAGAGAGAGAGAAACAUUUCCCCUACUUCGCGGUUCAGGUGUUUACUUUUUACCAUCUGCUUAAUAAAUUCAUUGACUCAACUGUAAAGUGUAAAUAGAUUUUACAGCAUCCGUUAGAUUAAAGCUGAUAGUAUAAAUUUUAAAAACCUAGGGGAAGUGCGAUAGAUACUCUGAUCAUUCUACAUGGGCUGCAGAGGAAGAUGGAUAAUCAAGAGGCUUCGGAAGCCAUUAAUGCUCUCUCUUUGAAGGAUUCCUCAUCUAAACCUCCAAUUUCCACUUCCCAGAUAAUGAAUAAUCAAGAGGCUUCAGAUGCCAUUGUUGCACUCUCAUUGAAGGCUUCUUCAUCCGACACUUCCAUUGCCACUUCCCAGAUGAGUGUGGAGGAGAGGUUCAA